rnacentral:rRNA from 1 species
UACGUAGGGUGCGAGCGUUAAUCGGAAUUACUGGGCGUAAAGCGUGCGCAGGCGGUUUUGUAAGACAGGCGUGAAAUCCCCGAGCUCAACUUGGGAAUUGCGCUUGUGACUGCAAGGCUAGAGUAUGUCAGAGGGGGGUAGAAUUCCACGUGUAGCAGUGAAAUGCGUAGAGAUGUGGAGGAAUACCGAUGGCGAAGGCAGCCCCCUGGGACGUCACUGACGCUCAUGCACGAAAGCGUGGGGAGCAAACAGG